ensembl:processed_transcript Gm13727 predicted gene 13727
AGAGCUUGCCAACUUGUUUCACGAGGCUGGCUUGUCCUCAUAUGCUAACUGGAGAAGGACCUCUGAGAAGACAGAAUUACAGCCUCCUGCACCUACCUACAAUAGUCACACCGAAGGACUGACUGUUAAACUCCAGCAAAGGGCGGGCCAGCAGAGGUAUCACCCAACUGUGGCUCCAGAAGCAAUGUUAUGAAGCUGCUCUGAAGCCUCAGCAAGUUCAAGUUUUGGAUCUAAGGGUCUGCCAGGGUCGGUGUUCGUCUUAGCAGGGAGCUUUAUUAGUAUCCCCUUCCUUCUGAGGGCACUUCAAACAAAAACUCCAUCCAUGCAUGUUUGCCAAAGAAUCUAUGUGAAAAAGUAUAAUUCUUGGCUGUAUUAUCAUCUCACUAGUCCCACACCCCUAAUUAAUUUGUCAUUAAAUAUAAUU